rnacentral:rRNA from 1 species
GUGCAGCAGUCGCGAAAACUUUACAAUGUGCGAAAGCACGAUAAGGGAACUCUGAGUGCCUCCUAAGGAGGCUGUUCAGGUGUCUAAAAAGCACCUGGAGUAAGGGCUGGGUAAGACCGGUGCCAGCCGCCGCGGUAACACCGGCAGCCCAGGUGGUAGCCACUUUUAUUGGGUCUAAAGCGUCCGUAGCCGGUUGAGUAAGUUCCUUGGGAAAUUUGGCUGCUCAACAGUCAAGCUUCCAGGGAAUACUGCUCGACUUGGGACUGGGAGAGGUCAGAGGUACUCCAGGGGUAGGGGUGAAAUCCAUUAAUCCCUGGGGGACCACCGGUAGCGAAGGCGUCUGACCAGACCAGGUCCGACGGUGAGGGACGAAGGCUAGGGUCGCGAACCGGAUUAGAUACCCCCGUAGU